rnacentral:rRNA from 1 species
GUAAUAGCUCACUGGUCAAGUGGUCCUGCGCCGACAAUGUAGCGGGGCUUAAGCACACCGCCGAAGCUGUGUCAUUCAUGCAAUACAUCGGCUUGGACUCUUGAAGUCCUUGUCUAGUGGUAUGGAUGGGUAGGGGAGCGUCCUGCAUCCAGGGAAGCGGCGGCGGAAGCCAGUCGUGGAGGGUGUGGGAGUGAGAAUGCAGGCAUGAGUAGCGAAUGCAGAGUGAGAAACUCUGCCGCCGGAUGACCAAGGGUUCCUGGGCCAGGCUA